AACGAACGCUGGCGGCAUGCCUAACACAUGCAAGUCGAACGAGACCUCCGGGUCUAGUGGCGCACGGGUGCGUAACGCGUGGGAACCUUCCCUUAGGUUCGGAAUAACUCUCCGAAAGGGGUGCUAAUACCGGAUAAUUUCUUCGGACCAAAGAUUUAUCGCCCUUGGAUGGGCCCGCGUUGGAUUAGCUAGUUGGUAGGGUAAAAGCCUACCAAGGCGACGAUCCAUAGCUGGUAUGAGAGGGUGAUCAGCCACACGGGGACUGAGAAACGGCAGAGACACUGACGCGGGGACGCAGUGGAGAAUCCUACGGGAGGGGGGAAAGGGGGAUAUAGGAAAAUCGGGGGAAGGAUGAAGGACCUCUGCCGGUAGAGCGAUGUAGGUCUUAAAGAAGUAAAGCUCUUUUACCCGGGAUGGUAAUGACGGUACCGAAAGAAUAAGCUCCGGCUAACUCCGUG
rnacentral:rRNA from 1 species